AUUGAACGCUGGCGGCACGCCUAACACAUGCAAGUCGAGCGGUAACAGGAUUAGUAGCAAUACUAGUUGCUGACGAGCGGCGGACGGGUGAGGAAGACGUAGGAACUUGCCUAAUAGAGGGGGAUAACCAAGGGAAACUUUGGCUAAUACCGCAUACAUUCGAGAGAAGAAAGGCGCUGAAAGGCGUCGCUCUUAGAGAGGCCUGCGUCCGAUUAGCUAGUUGGUGAGGUAAGAGCUAACCAAGGCGAUGAUCGGUAACUGGUCUGAGAGGACGGCCAGUCACGCUGGGACUGAGACACGGCCCAGACUCCUACGGGAGGCAGCAGUGGGGAAUAUUGGACAAUGGGGGCAACCCUGAUCCAGCGAUGCCGCGUGGGUGAAGAAGGCCUUCGGGUUGUAAAGCCCUUUAGGCCGGGACGAAAGCAGAUGGAGGAAAUGCCAUUUGGUUGACGGUACCGGCAGAAUAAGCACCGGCAAACUCUGUGCCAGCCGCCGCCGUAA
rnacentral:rRNA from 1 species